rnacentral:rRNA from 1 species
GACGUAGGGCGCGAGCGUUGUCCGGAUUUAUUGGGCGUAAAGAGCUCGUAGGCGGCUUGUCGCGUCGAAUGUGAAAACUCGGGGCUCAACCCCGCGCUUGCAUUCGAUACGGGCAGGCUCGAGUUCGGUAGAGGAGACUGGAAUUCCUGGUGUAGCGGUGAAAUGCGCAGAUAUCAGGAGGAACACCGGUGGCGAAGGCGGGUCUCUGGGCCGAUACUGACGCUGAGGAGCGAAAGCGUGGGGAGCAAACAGG